rnacentral:tRNA from 1 species
GCGGAUGUGGCGGAAUUGGCAGACGCGCCAGACUUAGGAUCUGGUGUUUACGACGUGGGAGUUCGAGUCUCUUCAUCCGCACCA